GACGAACGCUGGCGGCGUGCCUAAUACAUGCAAGUCGAACGAGAGCGCCCGGUGCUUGCCCUGGUCAAUCUAGUGGCGAACGGGUGAGUAACACGUGGGUAACCUGCCCAUCAGAGGGGGAUAACAUUCGGAAACGGAUGCUAAAACCGCAUAGGUCUUCGAACCGCAUGGUUUGAAGAGGAAAAGAGGCGCAAGCUUCUGCUGAUGGAUGGACCCGCGGUGCAUUAGCUAGUUGGUGAGGUAACGGCUCACCAAGGCCGUGAUGCAUAGCCGACCUGAGAGGGUGAUCGGCCACAUUGGGACUGAGACACGGCCCAAACUCCUACGGGAGGCAGCAGUAGGGAAUCUUCCGCAAUGGACGCAAGUCUGACGGAGCAACGCCGCGUGAGUGAAGAAGGUUUUCGGAUCGUAAAACUCUGUUGUUAGAGAAGAACAAGUGCUAGAGUAACUGUUAGCGCCUUGACGGUAUCUAACCAGAAAGCCACGGCUAACUACGUG
rnacentral:rRNA from 1 species